rnacentral:lncRNA from 1 species
CCGACUUUGCAAACAUAUUUGUAGAAUGGUUUCAUGUCUUCUGGCUGUUGCUGUGGUAAGGUUUCCAGUUCUGAUGUCUUCCUUGUACUCUUUAAUCAUGCAUCAUAACUUCUUUUUGUACUUUCUAUUCAUUCCUAGAUGUUUCUAUAAAGGUGGCAAAUAUGGAUUAUGAAUUAAUAGUCUGUAAGAAGAUAGCAUUCUCUCCAGUGUUCAUUCUGUAUGGUUACAGGAUCUUAUCUGAUAUAAGAAAGCUGCUUUCAGAGCACUCCUUAAGAAGUUCUCCAGCCACUAUACUAUCCAAGAAUCCAAAUAUGCAGAAUAUAAUACAAUUAUUAGUCAGAUUAUGGCCCAUGGUUAUAUCAAAAGAUUUAUUAAAGCUCUAUAAUGAUGUGAUAUCAAAACAGUCUAUAACAACCUAGUGCAAAUGGUACUCGAGUAAAUGAUACUUGGUAAUAGUGGACACAUAAAUUGAGAUCAGGAUCUUAGUCCCACCCUAGGAUGUAUAAAAGGGAAACUUAGUUAAAAUCUAUGGAUAAGUAUUCCAUGCAGAAGAUAGCCAACUGUUUACUUUCAUGUUAGAAAUAAUAUCAAAUCCCAAGUGGACUCUCAAGCUGAUAUUUAUAUCUUGCCAAUAUUCAAUCAUAAUAUACUUAUGACUAAGGAAUACAUCAAAAGUUAUUAAUAGAAGUUUACAAUGCAAAUUAAAGAUUAUAAAGGAAUACGUUAGAACUGGAAGUCUUGCUACAGCGGUGGCCAGAAUAUAUGAAACAGAUUUGCAAGUAUGUUAGGAUCAAACUAGAAUUCUAAAAGAAUUCAGUGUAUAGAAUUGAAU